CUCACACCUGAUCCCUGUAUUGCUGUUUUAUUCUUGUUUUAUUGAGGAUAAAGAUAUUAACAAUCAGACAUUGCGGAGAAUGCAUACACAGUCAAUAGUAAUACAUAUAUGAGCAUGGUAAGUAUGUCAUUCAGAGACAGCGAGGCUCAGUUUUGUUUAUUUUAAAGUAAAGAAUCAGUAAGUAACAUGCUGGUUUCAAGAUGGAAAGCCUCAGGCUGACAGCAUAACAAUAGUACACUAUAUCUAAGUAAUGAGAUGCAGAUAUAUACCAAAAUUAAGAAACAAAAAUUUAAGGAGAGAAGAGAUGAUGCUUGGAUAUGUGUCACAAAAGGUGCUGCUGAACAGGGGGGGUGAUCAGUCCUCUGCCAAACUCAGCUAUCCUACGGGUAGCAUGAUGGUUGCACUGCCCACAGAAACUUGGUGCCAGGAUCGGGUGCCUCUGCAGCCCCAGGCUUUGAUUAGGACUGGCAUCUGUGUGCCACAGGCUGGGUUAGCAUUAUAGUCCAAGACUAUCCCCUUUUGAGGGUGGUCGGAGGAUCAGGCUGACAGGCGCUGCUUAAUGCGGACAGUCCUCUUCCAUGGUGGGUAUAAGCUCAUGUGGUCCUCGGCCUAGGUGAGUGAGGAACAGGAUGCACAGGUUUUCCCAAAGCUUUUCACCAUGAAUAGGCCCCUUUGUCUCUGGCAGCUUGUCUCCCCAGGCUCUGCCCCUUUGCUCGAUUUUGGUAGUUGCUAUACGUUGCUGGAGUGUGAGCCAGAAGCGAUUGAAAUGGGGGUCGAGCCGCAGUUGGAACUCCGCAAUAGCGUUGCUGGGAGCCUUCUGGAGG